rnacentral:rRNA from 1 species
CACGUAGGGUGCGAGCGUUGUCCGGAAUUAUUGGGCGUAAAGAGCUCGUAGGCGGUGUGUCGCGUCGGCCGUGAAAACCUGCAGCUUAACUGUGGGCUUGCGGUCGAUACGGGCAUCACUGGAGUUCGGCAGGGGAGACUGGAAUUCCUGGUGUAGCGGUGAAAUGCGCAGAUAUCAGGAGGAACACCGGUGGCGAAGGCGGGUCUCUGGGCCGAUACUGACGCUGAGGCGCGAAAGCUAGGGGAGCGAACGGG